rnacentral:rRNA from 1 species
CGUGAGUGAUGAAGGCUUUCGGGUCGUAAAGCUCUGUCAAGUGGGAAGAACCUGCAGUAUGCUAAUAUCAUAUUGCACUGACGGUACCACUGAAGGAAGCACCGGCUAACUCCGUGCCAGCAGCCGCGGUAAUACGGGGGGUGCAAGCGUUAUUCGGAAUCAUUGGGCGUAAAGGGCACGUAGGCGGCCUGGUAAGUCAGAUGUGAAAGCCCGGGGCUUAACCCCGGAAGUGCAUUUGAUACUGUCAGGCUUGAGUAUGGGAGAGGGAAGUGGAAUUCCUGGUGUAGAGGUGAAAUUCGUAGAUAUCAGGAGGAACACCGGUGGCGAAGGCGACUUCCUGGACCAAUACUGACGCUGAGGUGCGAAGGCGUGGGUAGCAAACAGGAUUAGAUACCCUGGUAGUCCACGCAGUAAACGUUGUUCACUAGGUGUAGCGGGUAUUGACCCCUGCUGCGCCGCAGUUAACGCAUUAA